AGUUUAUACUUGGGUUUAGGUUUAAUGAUUAAGAUUUAGGGUUUAGUAUUUGGAAGGUGGGGGUUGAUGUUUGGGUUUAGUGACCGUAUUAUGUAUGUUCUAUUUGACGAUUAAAAAAGAGUGUUUUUUUUUACUUACCAAUUUAUACUAUACUAUGUAUUUUGUUCCAUUCUAUUUGGGUUUAUACUCUAUACUUGGGUUUAGGGUUUAGUGACUAGGAUUUAGGGUUUAGUAUUUGGAAGGUGGGAGUUUAGAUUUGGGUUUAGUGAUAGCAUUUUUGGGUUUAGUAUUCAAAAGUUAGGUCUGAGUUUAGCAUUGAGGAGUUUUGUUUGGAUUUAGUUUAAUAUUAUAUAAUAUUAUAUACUAUUUUCAGAUUUUGAUAAUUGGGUUUAAAGUUUAUAUUUGGGUUUAGGGUUCAGUAAUUAGGGUUUAGGGUUUAGUAUUUAUAUGGAAAGGUGGUGUUUAAAGUUUAGGGUUUAUUAUUUUAGAGUUGAGGUUUGGAUUAAAGUAGUAUUUACUAGGUGAUAAUUAAUUGUGGGGUGUCAAAUGUGAUGUCAUCAGUUUCUCUCUCUAUUAGUGGCAACUUGAAAAAAAAAAGGGCAUUACCGGAUAGAAGUUGACAUAAUUGUUAUGGGCUUUAUUAUGUCAAAAUCAAUGCU
rnacentral:lncRNA from 1 species